AUGCUCAUCGGAUACGUUUGGAGAAAUACUUUGUCAUUCUGUGCAGGUGGAACAAAGCGCUGCUUCUCUUCUUCCACCAUCACUGUCAGUGUGAGCCCUGCCCACCGACAGCCCAGGGUCUAAUAAGGAGGAAGCUGGAGCACCCUGAAGGAACCCACACAGGAACAGGGAGAACAGCAAGUACUCCAUGCAGAAAAUGACCAGCAUUUUAGACAACGCCUGACAAGCAGAUUGGAUUUGGAAGAAUGCAUCUCCCGCUCGGCCGGUGGGAUCGUAUCUUCCCAGGUCAUCCAUCCAUGAGGUGCAGCUUGAAAUGGAUUCCUCCUCCUCUGGGGCUAGUGUGUGUGCAUGCAUGGGCGUUUGUGUGUGCAUGUGCGUGUGUGUGGGGGUGCGUGUGUGUGUGUGUGUGUGUGUGUGGCCCACAACUCAUUACAUGACCCAACAUUCCCAGUCGGAAUAUUUCACCCUUCAUGUCUCAAACAGGGUUAUAUAUCUAAGAAAGUAAUGUAGGUGUCAAAAAAGACAAAUGUAGAUCACCGAAUCUGAAGUUUAUAAAAGUACAAAAUUAAAUAUAUUUACCAUGCAUGAUGUGUUUAGAUGUUGGAACUUAUUUAAACCUAGUAGUUUUUUUUUGUUUUUUUUACUCUUCCAAAACUGAUUUUGCUGUGAUUUGUGAUUUUUAUCAUCAUUUAAA